rnacentral:rRNA from 1 species
GACGAACGCUGGCGGCGUGCUUAACACAUGCAAGUCGAACGAAGUGGCGAACGGGUUAGUAACGAGUAAUCAACCUGCCCUUCAGUGGGGGACAACAGUUGGAAACGACUGCUAAUACCGCAUACUGAAGGAGGGGAUUGAGUCUGCUUAGCUGGUUGGGGGGGUAACGGCCCACCAAGGCGAUGAUCAGUAGCCGGGCUGCGAGGAUGAACGGCCACAUUGGGACUGGGACACGGCCCAGACUCCUACGGGAGGCAGCAGGGGGGAAUCUUCCGCAAUGGACGAAAGUCUGACGGAGCAACGCCGGGUGAGUGAUGACGGCCUUCGGGUUGUAAAGCUCUGUUAAUCGGGACGCGGUACCGGAAUAGAAAGCCACGGCUAACUACGUGCCAGCCGCCGCGGUAAUAC